rnacentral:rRNA from 1 species
GACGAACGCUGGCGGCGUGCUUAACACAUGCAAGUCGAACGGAAAGGCCCUGCUUUUGUGGGGUGCUCGAGUGGCGAACGGGUGAGUAACACGUGAGUAACCUGCCCUUGACUUUGGGAUAACUUCAGGAAACUGGGGCUAAUACCGGAUAGGAGCUCCUGCUGCCUGGUGGGGGUUGGAAAGUUUCGGCGGUUGGGGAUGGACUCGCGGCUUAUCAGCUUGUUGGUGGGGUAGUGGCUUACCAAGGCUUUGACGGGUAGCCGGCCUGAGAGGGUGACCGGCCACAUUGGGACUGGGAUACGGCCCAGACUCCUACGGGAGGCAGCAGUGGGGAAUGUUGCACAAUGGGCGGAAGCCUGAUGCAGCAACGCCGCGUGCGGGAUGACGGCCUUCGGGUUGUAAACCGCUUUCGCCUGUGACGAAGCGUGAGUGACGGUAAUGGGUAAAGAAGCACCGGCUAACUACGU